rnacentral:rRNA from 1 species
CUAGGGAUAUUGCCCAAUGGGGGAAACCCUGAGGCAGCGACGCCGCGUGGGGGACGACGGGCUUCGGCCUGUAAACCCCUUUUCCACGGGAAGAAUGAUGACGGUACCGUGGGAAUAAGCCCCGGCUAACUACGUGCCAGCAGCCGCGGUAAUACGUAGGGGGCGAGCGUUGUCCGGAUUCACUGGGCGUAAAGGACGCGCAGGCGGCCCGAGGGGUCCGUCGUUAAAGCCCGGGGCUCAACCCCGGGUGGUCGGCGGAGACCGGCGGGCUUGGAGGCCGGUAGAGGGAUGCGGAAUUCCCGGUGUAGUGGUGAAAUGCGUAGAGAUCGGGAGGAACACCAGAGGCGAAAGCGGCAUCCUGGGCCGGGCCUGACGCUGAGGCGUGAAAGCGUGGGGAGCGAACCGG